rnacentral:lncRNA from 1 species
GAGGUGUAAAGGCUUACCAACCAAGGGUGGGUACAAAACAUCCUAUAGAGGAUCAUGCCAACAAAGAGCAUUGUAUAGAUAUAGCCCAUAAUUCCAUCAGUCAAUGGCCUUUUUUGGCAUCCAAAAUCUGCUUUUUUUAAUUUUUUUCAUAUUUUAUUUCUUAAUGCUUUGUUUUUGCAAGGUGAGAGAUGAUUUGAGUUUCUAAAGACAUUAACACGAUAUGUAUCACACAAUUUAGAACCUAAAACACAUUUAAAACAUUU